UACGGGGGGGGCAAGCGUUGUUCGGAUUUACUGGGCGUAAAGGGCGCGUAGGCGGCCAGCGCAAGUCAGUUGUGAAAUCUCCGGGCUUAACUCGGAACGGUCAACUGAUACUGCGCGGCUAGAGUGCAGAAGGGGCAACUGGAAUUCUCGGUGUAGCGGUGAAAUGCGUAGAUAUCGAGAGGAACACCUGCGGCGAAGGCGGGUUGCUGGGCUGAUACUGACGCUGAGGCGCGAAAGCCAGGGGAGCGAACGGG
rnacentral:rRNA from 1 species